GGAUUUAUUGGGCGUAAAGCGAGCGCAGGCGGAAUGAUAAGUCUGAUGUGAAAGCCCACGGCUCAACCGUGGAACUGCAUCGGAAACUGUCAUUCUUGAGUGCAGAAGAGGAGAGUGGAACUCCAUGUGUAGCGGUGGAAUGCGUAGAUAUAUGGAAGAACACCAGUGGCGAAGGCGGCUCUCUGGUCUGCAACUGACGCUGAGGCUCGAAAGCAUGGGUAGCGAACAGGAUUAGAUACCCUGGUAGUCCAUGCCGUAAACGAUGAGUGCUAAGUGUUGGGAGGUUUCCGCCUCUCAGUGCUGCAGCUAACGCAUUAAGCACUCCGCCUGGGGGAUACGACCGCAAGGUUGAAACUCAAAGGAAUUGACGGGGGCCCGCACAAGCGGUGGAGCAUGUGGUUUAAUUCGAAGCAACGCGAAGAACCUUACCAGGUCUUGACAUCUAGUGCCAUCCUAAGAGAUUAGGAGUUCCCUUCGGGGACGCUAAGACAGGUGGUGCAUGGCUGUCCG
rnacentral:rRNA from 1 species